CUGUCUCCGAUCUUGGUGGCCUAAGGUUUCGGCAAUGGCCUUCAAGACGAUGGGUGAUUCCGGAAACAGAAUUGCCUCCCAUGCUUGGAAAGGAGAUU
rnacentral:ncRNA from 1 species